UCAAGUUCUUCAGCUCACGAUGACUUACGCAGAUUUCCUUCUCGACAAUGGUGUGCGUUUCACUGAGGAAUGGAAAACAUUGUCAAAAUAUGGACUGUUCUUGGGUGGUUGGCUACAUGGACCAUACUGAGUGGUAACAACUUUAGAUGCUGACUUCUUUGGAGGCAGUUGGGGUUGAUUAUCAACUUUAGUCUACAGUUAAGAAGAGUAAAGUUUCUUGGAUGUGAGCCAUAGAUUCCCUGACAAACCUGCUUUCUUCAAUGAGGAAACAACCUGUCAUUUUCUGCGAUGGAUAAGGUUUCUGCAGACCCAUUACGGCACUAUGUCAUAUACAG